rnacentral:tRNA from 2 species
AACUAUGUAGCUCAGUUGGGUAGAGCAAUCGACUAAUCAUCGAUGGGUCGCAGGUUCAAAUCCUGCCCUAGUUACCG